UUAAAAGCUUCGAAAGGAAGUAGUAAACAGAAAACCCAUUAGAGAGCAGAACCAUGUUUACGCUGAGAGGUUCUGUUGGAAUGUAUCUGUUGAAGUCGUCCUGGAGCUGCCAAGUUGAAAUAAAAUUAGGCUUGGUCGGUCACAACCGUUAUCUGUUAAAGAGUUGUAUAUAAGGCAAAUCAUAAUUUGCUUGUCCUAUAUGCGAAACUAAGGUGGUACCGCGAGAGAACAGUCUUUCGUCCUUUGA
rnacentral:ncRNA from 1 species